rnacentral:rRNA from 1 species
UACGUAGGUGGCAAGCGUUGUCCGGAUUUACUGGGCGUAAAGGGCGUGCAGGCGGUCUGUUAAGUCUAGGGUGAAAGCUCCCGGCUCAACUGGGAGAGGUCCUUGGAUACUGGCGGACUUGAGGGAGGCAGAGGAGAGUGGAAUUCCCGGUGUAGUGGUGAUAUGCGUAGAUAUCGGGAGGAACACCAGUGGCGAAGGCGGCUCUCUGGGCCUUACCUGACGCUGAGACGCGAAAGCGUGGGGAGCGAACCGG